rnacentral:rRNA from 1 species
GACGAACGCUGGCGGCGUGCUUAACACAUGCAAGUCGAACGGAAUGGCCCUGCUUUUGUGGGGUGCUCGAGUGGCGAACGGGUGAGUAACACGUGAGUAACCUGCCCUUGACUUUGGGAUAACUUCAGGAAACUGGGGCUAAUACCGGAUAGGAGCUCCUGCUGCAUGGUGGGGGUUGGAAAGUUUCGGCGGUUGGGGAUGGACUCGCGGCUUAUCAGCUUGUUGGUGGGGUAGUGGCUUACCAAGGCUUUGACGGGUAGCCGGCCUGAGAGGGUGACCGGCCACAUUGGGACUGAGAUACGGCCCAGACUCCUACGGGAGGCAGCAGUGGGGAAUAUUGCACAAUGGGCGGAAGCCUGAUGCAGCAACGCCGCGUGCGGGAUGACGGCCUUCGGGUUGUAAACCGCUUUCGCCGGUGACGAAGCGUGAGUGACGGUAAUGGGUAAAGAAGCACCGGCUAACUACGUG